AAUUUUCGCUCUUUUUCACAGCUUGUCAUUGCGAAUAUUUUACAAACUCGUAAACAUCGUGUUGUUUUUGUUACACCAACAAUGUCGUACGAAGUCCAUUUGAGCAGAGAGCAGGCACUGCAAGGACUCGAAAUUGAGGAGCCGAUUGUUGCCGAUCUGGUGAAAAGGCACAGUGAGUACAUAAAUGGCGCUUCAACGAAUCGACAAUGACCACAGUCGAUGCGACAAAGACGUCACAUGCAGGUCGAUUGUCGCGUGACAACGCCACAUUUUUGUCGUCUAUUGAAUCCAGGACCCGGCGUCGGACGUAAAUAUUAAUGAUUAAGGUAAAUGUGUGUGCAAAAUGUGUAUGUAUGUACGUAUAUCUCUACAUACAAUAUAUGUACAUACAUAUGUACAUAUAUAAUUAAGAAUAAAAUGAGAAAAAUAUGAAGAAAAAACAUUUGGAAAAGCAACAGAGGCAAAUAGUUACAUACAUACAUAUGUAUGUAUGUAAUAUAUGUAUGUAUACUAUAUAUGUAUGUAACAUCGAUUGAGAGUUAUAUCACAAAUAGUUUGUAACAACAACUGCAACAACAACAACAACAA